UUCUUAUCAAGAGCAGGCGGAGGGACUGGCCCUAUGAUGCCCGGCAACCGACUUUUAAAGCACGGUGCUAAUUCUUGCAGCAGUUAUGCUGAGAGAUAAGAG
rnacentral:ncRNA from 2 species